GGUGAACGUUGGCGGCGCGUCUAAUACAUGCAAGUCGAGCGAGGCUUCGAGCCGAGCGGCGGACGGCUGAGUAACACGUUGGUAGCUACCCCGUACUCAGGGAUAACACUGAGAAAUCAGUGCUAAUACCGGAUGGUCCCGAAAGGGUAAAGAUUUAUCGGUACGGGAGGUGCCUGCGGCCUAUCAGCUAGUUGGUGAGGUAAUGGCUCACCAAGGCUAUGACGGGUAACUGGGUCUGAGAGGACGACCAGUCAGAGGGAAACUGAGACACGGUUCCCACUCCUACGGGAGGCAGCAGUAAAGAAUCUUCCGCAAUGGACGCAAGUCUGACGGAGCGACGCCGCGUGCAGGAUGAAGGCCUUGGGUCGUAAACUGCUUUCUNAGGGAUAAUUCUGAAUGUACUCAGGAAUAAG
rnacentral:rRNA from 1 species